rnacentral:rRNA from 1 species
UACGUAGGGGGCAAGCGUUGUCCGGAUUCAUUGGGCGUAAAGAGCGUGUAGGCGGCUUGGUAGGUCCGCUGUGAAAACUCGAGGCUCAACCUCGAGAUGUCGGCGGAAACCACUUGGCUAGAGUCCGGAAGAGGAGAGUGGAAUUCCUGGUGUAGCGGUGAAAUGCGCAGAUAUCAGGAAGAACACCUAUGGCGAAGGCAGCUCUCUGGGACGGUACUGACGCUGAGACGCGAAAGCGUGGGGAGCGAACAGG